UUUCCGUAGGUGAACCUGCGGAAGGAUCAUUAACGAGUUAGGGUCUUCUAGGCCCGACCUCCCAACCCUUUGUUUACUGAACCAUUGUUGCCUCGGUGGGUCCGUCUUACGACCGCCGGGGGAUCGCCGCGAGGCGCCCCCUGGCCAGCGCCCACCGAUAGCCCAACCUUUAAAACCCUUUGUGAAUCGUGUCUUAUGUCUAAAUUUAUGACUAAACAAUCAAAACAAAACUUUCAACAACGGAUCUCUUGGUUCUG
rnacentral:misc_RNA from 1 species